CGAAUUGUGCUUGAGAAAAUUCGGGAAAUUCUACGAAAACAUAAAUAUGACUAUGUGCGAUCGAUCACAUCGAUAAUAUCAAUAAAUGUACUUACCAAAUGUAGAUUUGCAUCGUCUCAAAAAAAGAAAGAAAAAGAGAAGAAUCUACGAAUCGAGUAUCGAACAACUAAUAAGCACGAAGAUUCAAAAAUUAAAUCAGAGCUACCACGUUCCAAGAAAUCUACUUUCGUGGAAACUUCCGAAGAUAACGAUAUAACAAACACAACGAUCGACGACACAGUAGAAUGGUCUAACCAUAAUAUAAUACGUGUAAGUAAUUACUACGGCGAGGAUAACUGAGCAUCGUCAUUAUUUGAUCGAAGAAUCGAAGAGUGUUUGAUAGAAUAUCAUCAGCGCUAUCAUGAUGCCAGCAGAAACAAUACGGUGAUUCAGGACGGGCUUUGAAUCGAGAGCGGGAAGCUUAAAAACGCAGCCGGCGUAACGCAAUACGAACGAGAUUUGUCCUCGUGCGUUUGAAAGGGACUGCACGGAGCGUUGUGCCAUGUCCUUCGUCGUAUUCGUUGAAUUUUGCGCAACCAACUGGUGGAACUCUGUCGCUGACAGCGUGCACAGAGCACGUGCGGAAAUAAAUCGUAUCGCCACAGAAAUUCUUUAUACACACGCUUCUCGCUUCCCUUUCUUCUUCUUCUUCUUCUUCGUCGUCUUUCCAUCUUUUUUCUUUUUUUUCUCUUUUUCUCGAGAAAAAAAAAUUACCGAUUAAGUCCCUCGAUAUUACUCGUUCGAGACCGAAUAUCGAGACACGCUUUUUCUUUCUUUUUUUCUUUUUAAUGGAAACCGAUCGAGAUGACUUUUAAAAAUCAUCGAUUCGUGCCUCCUUUUGAUAAUUAUCUUGAGAAAAAAGUUAAUGAGGUGAUUCUUUGAGACCCGCCCAUAAACAUAUCCUGAUAAUUCUCUGGAGUAAAAAAUGAAAGUGAUAACUCUUAAACAUCGUCAAGUUGUAUCGCCUUCUUAUACGGUUGUUUGAUGAAAAAACUAAUUAGACGGUCUUCUUUUUAAGUUGUCUGUAAAUUCCCUGAUAUUCUUUUAUUAUUCUCUCUUUUUUCUAUAUUUAAAUCGCAUAAAUAAUCGCUUGGUUAUUAGAGACAGAAACAAUUCUAUAGUUCUAUAUUAUUUUUGACGUUAAAUCAUUUAUAUUGCCGUAAUAAUACGUGGUAAUUAGACUGUGCGGAAUUUCUAAUUAUUUAUAGGAAAUUUACCGAUGCGAGAAUGUACAGAAUACAAAUGUAAUAUGAAAAGAUACAUGAAAUAUCCAGAAUUUGUAUCUGUUAUAAUAUUUAGUAAGCGGAAAGCUUAAAUUGCAUGCAAAAAGAUAUGAAUUUGCACAAAUAUUCACAGUCUAGUAAUAAUUAUCGUUAUAGCGAUGGUUUAACAUGUUCACUAUUCGUUGACUAUUCAUUAUCUGCAAUAUAUUAAGAAAUAAUUUUCAUACGAAAUGUAUCCAUGUAUUUCCAGAAAACUCCUAAAAAUCGUAAUAAUCGAUGAUACGAUGAAGAAAAGAUCGACUUCGUACGAAAAGACGCUAACUUUACCGUGACUCUAAUAACUGCAAAAUUCUAUUCUACUGUACGACUGAUGUUAAUCGAAAGAAUUUAAAGGAUCUGCCUAUAGAAAUCGCGUUAUGUACACGAUUCCUGUUCUCGAAGCUUCUCAACCGUUCCACUGUUUUAAUUGCCUCCGGUUCGUAGUCCACCGCAUUACGGAAUGUUGGUUCGAGUUUCAUGAAUGAAGAAAUUUCUCCUAUUUCCCGGGUGAAUGCAACAAGUGGCGAUGAGCGGUCUUUUAUCUGCUCUGCUCCAUCGUGCUGGCCCAGUUUCCUUCUCCGAGCAUAAAUCUGCUACACACCGACUACAUCUGCUGCCUCGUGACAGACAAACUCUCAUAAUCAAUUUCUUUCUUCCAACGAACGUAAUCAAAUUCUUCUUCUUUUCUCUACAUAUUUAUUUCUAGAUUCGCGAAAUCUCUCGAAAGCUGGAAUGCUCCUUUCUUCUUUUCUCUUUUUUUUUCCCCUCUCGAAAGUAUAUCUAUCUUGUGAGAAACUAAAAUCUCAACAAAUUUCGUUGAGAAAACACGAUUUAUUUUUCCUUAAUGUAAAUACAACGAAUUAACGAAUAUAACGAUUAAAACGUAAGCGUAAAGGCCAGAGACACAAGCUCAAUCGCAUCGUUAUUAGUCAACUUUUAAUUGUAACGAUACGAUUUACGGAAAUUUCUCUAUCGUCGAGAAAGUAAUACACGAAAUAAGAUUAAAUCAGCUGAAUUAUACAGUCAUCUACUCGACAACGCUGUACGAAGAUUAAAUAAAAAUAAAUUAGUAUCGUCAGUUUCGUACUUUCGCCCGAGUUAUUUAUACAAGUUAUUAUUUAUUCGGAGAAUUUCGAGACUUUCGAAUCGCAAAAAUAGCGUAAACUCGUUGACUUUCGAGGGGACUUUUCAAUUUUCAAAGCGCCGAGCGUUCCACGCUUACCCCUUCUUUUUCUUCUCCUCUUUCCAAUUCCUUUUUUUUUUCAUCCUCUCACUUAUACCACCCGCAUUUACGCGGAUGACGAAUACCACCAGCAAUCUGAUUUUAUCAUGCUAAUACCGCUAUCGUGAGAGACCUCGUGUUUUUUCCUCGACCAACGAUUCCGCGCUGUCGACCGAUACUUUUAUCGCCGCGAAAUAGCUCGAUCGAAACGGACGGCCGAUUUAUCGUAAAAAUUACGUCAAACGAUAGAACGAAUUCGGUCUAACGAUUCACGUGAUCUUUAAACGCUUCUCGAUUCAAUUGCGUCUCAAUCGUACUUACUAUCCACAUGAUUAUGCGAAUGGAUAUAUCUUCUUCGAUUAAUCUCUGCUCGUUUCUCUGUUUUUUAAUUAAGCGUUCUAUAUUAGGAAGCUUUACUGCGAUACUCAGUCGCCUUGCGAUAAUUAUUUUACGUAUCGCGGAAUAGCAAUUAAUUUCUGUAGGACACUUGUACUAGUUCUUUCUUCAACUUUCUCUUUCUUCCAGAUCCUAUCUUUUUAACGUUUGUAUGAUGUAAGCGCUUUUACAAAUUUCAUCAAGCUCGCGCGAUUCGGCCCCCGUAGUUUUAUAACUAGUUAACUGAUCUAUACUUUACGUUAUGAAGACCGUGGACGCGAGACAUGAUAAGCUCCACACGCUUUUCGUGUUUUGCGAUCUACUGAUUAAAAACUGUCAUUCGACGUUAUCAUAUUCUGUAUUUCUAAAUCUCCCUUUCUAUCGCGCUCUUUAUUUAUUUGAAUCCACGAGAGUAUUUGAAUACUCGGAAUAAAAAUCUUGCACGCGUACAUUACGCGUAUUAUACGAAAGAUUUUGAAAUUUCGUUAACAUCGUGAGACGCGACUGUUACGAUUGUAUUAUACAUUGAAACAAACCUGAAAAUUAUUUAUAUUUCUGUUUGUGAUUAAUUUUCCCAAUUAAAUGAAAUUAUAACAGCCUAAUUUAACGAAGUAGCCCCCCAGUUAUUUUACGGUUGAAAUUUAACAAGAAUUUCUAUAUCUCCGUUAUUAAUAAUUUUCUACAUCCUUUUCGUUUUUCUGCUGUACCACUUUAUUCCAUACGAACUCUAAUUCUCUGUCAGUUCCUCGCGUUUUUCUGUUUCCACUCUUUUAACGCUAUAAUUCCGUUUCUCAUCCAACGAUAAGCCUAUAGAAACAAGAGAGAUCGCGUUCUGAACGUAGCUCACAGGCUUAAUUAUACCUUCAAGAACAUUGGAGCCCUGACAGGAUCGCUUUAUAUAAAUACAGGCCACACUGUCGACAAGAGAUAUUCACCUCAAGUGGCAUAUAACUCGCCAACUAGUGCACUUGCAUUGACGAUUAUGUAUACAAUAUCGAGUCGAAGAAACUUUAGAACGCUAUAAAUUUUCUUUACUUUAAUACUAAACAUUUCUCACCAUAUUGUCAACCAAUCGUUUGUUCUCUACCAUACUACCAUAUAUACUGUACUAUACACCAUAUACUAUAUACUAUAUACCAUACUACCAUAUAUAUUAUAUUUGUUCACUGUUCUUAUUAAAGUCAAUUACUAACAACAUCUUGUUAUAAAUAUCUUGUUAUUAAAUCGAACAUUAUAAAAAUGGUAAAAUUAUCGUGUCUCUGUACAUUUCUUAUUUUAUGAACUUUCUUUCGCCCAUCGCUGUACAUAGCUACAUAUCUACUUUCUUUAUAUUUACCAUUAGAAAUCGGGUUACUCGAGCUUACACGAGUCACAUUGAAUUCGAGUAACUUGACUAAUCUGAAUAAGGCUUAACGUCAGCGGAUGUACAGUUCUUGUAGCCAGAGGCGCUAUUAUUUCGUCAUAGCAGGCUUGGCAUAUAAACGGUACCAUCUUGCAUUAUACGUCAUGGUACGCGAGAUCUCAAUGGUCGUACAGUGUGUGUAUUAAUUAAAUCGCAAUCUGUCGAGGUAUGGCGCGCUAAAUGUCCAGGAGAAAAUUAGACGAGCACGGUGAAUAGAAUUUUCCAAAACAAUAGUAUAAUUUCAUUCGAGUCCUUGGCAACGGAUCGUCUUGCAUAGAAAUAAAAGCUUACGUGUUGUUUUGUUAGAAGUCUAUCUCGCAUGGAUCGAAGUCUUGCUGGAAACGAUGUGAUUUCCAUUGAAAAUUGCAAUUUUAGACGAUUGUGCUCGGACAUCGAUUCCGAGAUUCUCCAUCUCCACACAUUUCUUCAGAAAAUCGAACGAGAUUCUAAAAUGCAAUUUUUCAAUUGCAAAUAUUUCUAUACAUUCUGCGACAACGACGAAAGAUAUAAAUUCAGUUGUUCAGCUGAGAAAUUGUUUAGAUAUUUUAUACAUCUACGAGCGUUAUCUUACGUUCAAAGGAUUUUUAUGUAUUUAAGAAAAACAGGAAAUACCCGGAUAAUUCAGUGGAAAUCACAGAAUGACGAAUUAUUCUCGCAUCAAUGUAAUUACUUGCGAAAUAACUACUAAUUAUUUUAUUGUUCAGUUACUAUUCUUCUACUUCUUGAUAAUUGUAAGAAAAAAAGGAAGAAAUUACAUCAACUACCAGAACGUGCGAAGUAACUUUUAAUAUCUCGAUGAUUCUCGAUGCCGAUUAACUCGAUGUGACUCGUCACCGGAAAUAAUUUCUAGUUCGAUAUUCAACUUAAUUGAAAGUCGCGACGACAGCGAGACAUCGAUCUCCCGAAGACGAUUUCGCUAUAACCAACC